UAGUUGAUCAUGGCUCAGGACGAACGCUGGCGGCGUGCUUAACACAUGCAAGUCGAGCGGAAAGGCCCUUCGGGGUACUCGAGCGGCGAACGGGUGAGUAACACGUGAGUAACCUGCCCUAGGCUUUGGGAUAACCCUCGGAAACGGGGGCUAAUACCGAAUAUUCAUGCUGGACGGCAUCGUUUGGUGUGGAAAGUUUUUCGGCUUGGGAUGGGCUCGCGGCCUAUCAGCUUGUUGGUGGGGUGAUGGCCUACCAAGGCGACGACGGGUAGCCGGCCUGAGAGGGCGACCGGCCACACUGGGACUGAGACACGGCCCAGACUCCUACGGGAGGCAGCAGUGGGGAAUAUUGCACAAUGGGCGGAAGCCUGAUGCAGCGACCCCGCGUGAGGGAUGAAGGCCUUCGKGUUGU
rnacentral:rRNA from 1 species